rnacentral:rRNA from 1 species
AGAUUAAGCCAUGCAUGUCUCAGUAUAAGCUUCAACAUGGCAAGACUGUGAAUGGCUCAUUAAAACAGUUGUAGUUUAUUUGGUGGCCUCUUUACAUGGAUAGCCGUGGUAAUUCUAGAACUAAUACAUGCGCUCAAGCCCGACUUCGCAGAAGGGCUGUGUUUAUUUGUUACAGAACCAUUUCAGGCUCUGCCUGGUUUUUGGUGAAUCAAAAUACCUUAUGGAUUGUGUGGCAUCAGCUGGUGAUGACUCAUUCAAGCUUCUGACCUAUCAGCUUCCGACGGUAGGGUAUUGGCCUACCCUGGCAAUGACGGGUAACGGAGAAUUAGGGUUUGAUACCGGAGAGGGAGCCUGAGAAACGGCUACCACAUCUAAGGAAGGCAGCAGGCGCGCAAAUUACCCAAUCCUGACACAGAGAGGUAGUGACAAGAAAUAACAAUACAGGGCAUCCAUGUCUUGUAAUUGGAAUGAAUAGAAUGUAUACCCUUUUAUGAGUAUCAAUUGGAGGGCAAGUCUGGU